rnacentral:rRNA from 1 species
ACGCACGCUGGCGGCGUGCUUAACCCCUGCCAGUCGAACGGAAAGGCCCUGCUUUUGUGGGGUGCUCGAGUGGCGAACGGGUGAGUAACACGUGAGUAACCUGCCCUUGACUUUGGGAUAACUUCAGGAAACUGGGGCUAAUACCGGAUAGGAGCUCCUGCUGCAUGGUGGGGGUUGGAAAGUUUCGGCGGUUGGGGAUGGACUCGCGGCUUAUCAGCUUGUUGGUGGGGUAGUGGCUUACCAAGGCUUUGACGGGUAGCCGGCCUGAGAGGGUGACCGGCCACAUUGGGACUGAGAUACGGCCCAGACUCCUACGGGAGGCAGCAGCGGGGAAUAUUGCACAAUGGGCGGAAGCCUGAUGCAGCAACGCCGCGUGCGGGAUGACGGCCUUCGGGUUGUAAACCGCUUUCGCCUGUGACGAAGCGUGAGUGACGGUAAUGGGUAAAGAAGCACCGGCUAACUACGUG